rnacentral:miRNA from 1 species
AACUGGCCUUUUAAGUCCCGCA